rnacentral:tRNA from 1 species
CAAAGUGUAGCUUAAUCAAAGCGUCUGUCUUACAUGCAGGAGAUUUCACACACUGGUGACCACUUUGA